UACGAAGGGGGCUAGCGUUGCUCGGAAUCACUGGGCGUAAAGGGCGCGUAGGCGGCCAUUCAAGUCGGGGGUGAAAGCCUGUGGCUCAACCACAGAAUUGCCUUCGAUACUGUUUGGCUUGAGUUUGGUAGAGGUUGGUGGAACUGCGAGUGUAGAGGUGAAAUUCGUAGAUAUUCGGAAGAACACCAGUGGCGAAGGCGGCUCACUGGCCCGGUACUGACGCUGAGGUGCGAAAGCGUGGGGAGCAAACAGG
rnacentral:rRNA from 1 species